AUUUAUAACACUAAUAUCCUAUGUGCUUACGAUGUUUAUCUCCUUUAUUCUAAUUUUUUUAAUAACAAUACAUUUAAUCUAUUUAUUAUAGAAGACUUGAUCCGCCUCACCUUUAAUAUAACUGUAGGAUUUCUUCCAUACCAAAAUUCAACUGCACGUGUAUUUCAACACCUUUUUUUGGAUUUGAAAGAUAACUUGCAUUAAUUAAACAUAUGUGUACAUACCAUUAAGUAAUGUGGUGUAUUGGAUGGGGCUAUUCCUUCUUUAACCAGAGGUCUCGAGUUCGAGCCUUGGAUUUGGAAAAAUUCUUGGAGGGAGCGCUACCCCCGAAUGAGACCUUACCCAGUGCAAAUCCUGAUAUAGUCGGGCUCCAAUGCGAAUACCGAAUAUUAGAUACCGGAUGGAAAAAAAACAUAUGAGUACAGAGGUGUUGAUGCCUAAGCACCAUAUUACAAAGCAAAGUAGUACUAGAGGUAGUAGCUAAUUCAGGGGUGCAUUUGCAGAUGGUCGUGGAGGAUGUUCUACUAAACUAGGUUCCAAAAAAGAGUUUUCUUCCACGGACGCAGCUUCCGUUAGUUGGACAAAAC
rnacentral:lncRNA from 1 species